AAGUAAAAGUCGUAACAAGGUCUCCGUUGGUGAACCAGCGGAGGGAUCAUUAAAGAGUUAAUUACAACUCCCAAACCCAUGUGAACUUACCUUCUGUUGCCUCGGCAGGUCGUGUUUACCCUGUGAGGUCCUACCCUGUAGGACCCUACCUGGUAGACACGGGUACGCCUGCCGGUGGCCCAUGAAACUCUGUUAAUUCUAUGUUAUUCUGAAUCUAUAACUAAAUAAGUUAAAACUUUCAACAACGGAUCUCUUGGUUCUGGCAUCGAUGAAGAACGCAGCGAAAUGCGAUAAGUAAUGUGAAUUGCAGAAUUCAGUGAAUCAUCGAAUCUUUGAACGCACAUUGCGCCCAUUAGUAUUCUAGUGGGCAUGCCUGUUCGAGCGUCAUUUCAACCCUUAAGCCCCUGUUGCUUAGCGUUGGGAGCCUACAGCCUUCUGUAGCUCCCCAAAGUUAGUGGCGGAGUCGGUUCACACUCUAGACGUAGUAGAUUCUAUCUCGUCUGUAGUGAGGCCGGUCCCCUGCCGUAAAACCCCCCUAAUUUUUAAAGGUUGACCUCGGAUCAGGUAGGAAUACCCGCUGAACUUAAGCAUA
rnacentral:rRNA from 1 species